rnacentral:rRNA from 1 species
GAUGAACGCUAGCUACAGGCUUAACACAUGCAAGUCGAGGGGCAGCAUGAACUUAGCUUGCUAAGUUUGAUGGCGACCGGCGCACGGGUGAGUAACACGUAUCCAACCUUCCGUUUACUCAGGGAUAGCCUUUCGAAAGAAAGAUUAAUACCUGAUAGUAUGGUGAGAUUGCAUGAUAACACCAUUAAAGAUUUAUUGGUAAACGAUGGGGAUGCGUUCCAUUAGGUAGUAGGCGGGGUAACGGCCCACCUAGCCUGCGAUGGAUAGGGGUUCUGAGAGGAACGGUCCCCCANAUUGGAACUGAGACACGGUACCAAACUCCGUACGGGAGGCAGCAGUGA